GUCUGGUUGGCUUAGUUGGUAGAGCCUGUGAUUCUUGAUCUUAGGGUUGUGGGUUCAAGACCCAUGGUGGAUA
rnacentral:tRNA from 1 species